UAGCUCAGAAAGCCAUGGCCAGUGGGCCUGUGUUAGAAACGCUGUCAAAGGAAGUCCUGAAAGCGAAGGAAAUUACACCCGGGGGGUACUCAGACCUACAAGGAGAAAGGAAGAGCUCUGGAAAUGGUCCACACAAAAAAGCAUGACUGUUAAACCAGAAAAAGGCAGUCAGCAGAAACUACCUUGUGGGAGUGGCCAGAUGCUGGAUUUAACAAACAGCUAAAAGGAGCCCUGAAGAUGACACUUUCAAUUUUCUUCGGAAUCCAAAUUCAGAGGCAGAUGCAGCAGGACUAGAACUGGAAAACGUCUGCUCUGUUGUUCCACCGGGAACGACACAGGCCCUGGUGGCCUCCAUGGGACAGUUUCAGUGGGGAGUCUUUUGGCAGUGCCCUGCAACAUGUGAGAUCUUCAUUCCCUGACCAGGAAUUGAACGCGCAUCCCCUGCACUGGAAGAUCAGAGUCUUAACUUCUGCACCACCAGGGAAGUCCCUCCAGUAUAAUUUUUAAUGCCUGCCUCAAGGGCAAUGGCAGGUUUGCUUGAAGCCCGUUGUAAAAGAUUCUGGUUUCCCUUGUUCAAGGUUCCUCAGUCGUGUGGCAAACCCACUAUAUGUGCAGCAAACCCGCUGUGUGGCCCCUUUUGGGUCCCUCUGCCUCCCCUUCGUGGGGUCUGAGAAGCAAGGAGGCACCACCAUGAAAGUCACGUUGCUCAUUGUGCCACCAGUAAUCAAGUCAUUCAUCUCUGGCCCCAGAGUCUCACAUCUUCUGCCAGCAUCCAUAAAACUGUAGCGGGCUGAGCUGUUAGCCCGAUCACAGGGUAAACCUCGGACCCUUCACAUUCUGGCCAGGAGGUGCCUUUGUAAUUGUAAGCCUGGGAAAUUGAAGCUCCCCUCUCGGAGGUAUGGCAGGGAGAAAGGAGGCUUGAGGUGACAUCUUGGAAUCCCUGUUGGGCAGGAUGGAAGCUGGAGCUAACCAAGGAUGGGGAAAUGGCUGGUGUGGCGAGUCCAGCUGAUGCCUAGUGGGUACCAUUCUACUCUGGAAUGAAACAGUCCCCGGCCAGCAGCUCCCAGCCAGGCCAGGGAGCAGGCAGCAUGGGGGAGGGGAUGCACAGGCCGAUCAGAGUGUGAAUCCAGGUCGGAAUUCUGCUGGGCGGAAAGCCAGGAACACAGGAGAAUCUGGGUUAUGAUGAGAGUAGCUCUCAGAUUAUGACCUCCAGGGGCCUGGCUGGAAAGCAAAGAAAGCUUCAGGGAGAGAACUGAUGUGCCGGGAGACAGUGGAGGGGGGAGAACACAGGAGGCUGCAGACAGGAAAGAGACCCCCAUGUGGUGGAUAGGAAGCUCUGGUCUUAGUGGGAUAUUACCUUUUUAAAAUAUAUGUAUAUAUCUAUUUAUUUGGCGGUGCAGGAUCUUAGUGGCAGCAUGCAGAAUCUUGUUAGUUUUGGCACUGGGGACCUUUAGCUGUGGUAUGUGGGAUCUAGUUCCCUGACCAGGGAUCAAACCUGGGGCCCCUACAUUGGAAGAUCAGGAUCUUAGCCACUGGACCACCAGGGAAAUCUUGAGGUAUUUGUCUUUUAGGCACUGGAGAUGGACCCAAAUCCUUAAUACGGAUGUGCUUGUGUGCGUGUUAAGUCACUUCGGUGGUGUCUGACUCUUCACGACCCUAUGGAUUGUAGCCUUCCAGGAGCCUCUGU